CAUCAGCACUCUGACAAUCGCCAUCCCAGCGCACAUGUGGGUGGCUGAUUGGCAUAGAUAUGCACUUCUGUUGAUCAUUUGUGGGGAGGCAGGUAGGAGCCUGCCUCCCUGCUCACCCUCCCCACCACCCGGGAGCCACAGAAGUCAAGUGGAAACCAGACCCUGCUGGUGGCAGAAGAGAUUCAAGAAAUGGGCUCCUGGAGAGGGGGUUUGGCUGAAAGACAGGCAGCAGCCAGAAUUGUAGUCUCCGCAUCCUCAAGUGUGCAUUCGCCACAGUCGUGGUGCACAAAGCCAUGAGGCCCAGCAGACGUUGGAUGGACCAAGCCUGUUGUUUGGGGAAGACUGGAAAGUGAUCACCAUGGAGGAAAUGGCCUGGGUGCAUUCUACAGAUUUGCCAGUGCUGGAGGAUCCAAAGAAGGUGUAGCAGGCUGCAACAGCGAAAGGCGGAGAGGAGACCGGACAGGCAUCAACCCAUGGGAGAUGAUGAUGGGCGAAGGCAACGCCAAACGCACAGGUCUGGAUUAAAAAGAAGAAUCUGCCCCACCUCCCAAACCCACACAUACUAACAAUCAAGGAGCAAGCCUGUGGUAGCAGCAACCAGGAAAAGUAAUGACUUUCCCCCAACCAACCUUGAAUGGCAAGCGCUUCCUAUUCUUCACUUUUCUUUAAAAUCUGACCAUUUAAUAAUCCAUAUACCACCAAAAUCCGUUACUGGAAUCUCACUGAUUGUAAAGCAUUCACACUGCACCCUAUCGAAAGGAAGAGCAGCUCAAACCCAAUAUGGAACCACAUUACCUGCAUAAACU